GGAAAUACUUAAUGGAUAGUCAAUAAACAUCUGUUGAAUUAAUGAACAAACGAUUAGAUGAAUAAAUGAAUAGAUGCUUGAAAAUUGCAAAAUUAUUAUUAUUAUUAUUAGAGAUGAGAUCUUACUAUAUUGCCCAGGCUGGAUUCAACCUCCUGGGUUCAAGCGAUCCUCCUGCUUCAGCUUCCCCAGUAGCUGGGACUAGAGAUGCACACCAUCAGGCCUAGUUUUACAAAAUUAUUACCUUGGGAAAUGUACUCUAAUUCAAAAUCUUUACAGUCUCAACCAUCAUCCUCCUGUUGAAAUACUUCUUAAGAAGUAGUGUGUUAUCAGUAUAUCUUCUGUCUCAUCUGGACGUGGAAGGACAAUCACGAAAUAGUGGUCCAGAUUUGGCUCAGAGGCUAUAGUUUGCCCACCCCUGCUUUAUACAACUGGAAGAAAGAUGUCAAUUACCUACCUGCCCCGAGGCAUGGAUGCUGAUUUAUUUUCUCCUCCUCUAGGAUCAAUGAUACACAUUAGAGAGGUGGCUGGUAGGGGACCAGUGUGGCAGCCUCUUGUCCCCAGACUAAGCAAAACCAUCUGGCCCUCGGAGGAAUUGAACCCAUAUUAUCAACCUCAAUUAGCACCAUGUUUUACUCAAUUGAAGAAAUAAAAGUUGCAAUUAAUUCAACUGUCCUCGUCUUAGUCAUUAUCAAUUGCAAUAUUCUAUCCUUAUUUAGCUUCUAAAACCCAAAAGUUCAUGCUCCCGGACAAAGUACAUGGGAAAGUAUGAUAUGCCAGCAUUGUCACUAUUACAACUUGAAUGACUGCAGGAGAUUGUAUUUUUAAACUGCCUCAUCAUAGCCCUAUCCUCAAAUGUAUGCCAGGACUUCCAGAGAAGCAAAGUCACAUGGCUGUUUAUUCAAUGAGAAUUCAUGUUUAUCAUCUCUCAUCCCAAUCCUACUUCCCCUACACUAUUCUCCUGCUUGGCUCCUUGGAAAAGGAAACUGUCCUCCCUUCAGUUACAUUUUUGUCAUGUUCAAUGAGUUAAUUUUGUUGGCUCAGUUAUAUAUUUUAGUAUAAAUUAAAUUCAAGUUUCCUUUAUUUGAGUCUUUGGGCCAGUUGCAUUGCUUUAUACUUUCUGGUGUUCUCAAUUUCAACUUUGCUAGCAUUUAGAAGGCAAAGGCACUGUCUAGCAGAAGUAAUAAUCCUUUUAACUACCUAAUUGCUUCUGUUGGUUACCGCCGUUUGUCUUCUAGACUCAAGGCAUUGACUCUAGAUGACUUCCAAC
rnacentral:lncRNA from 1 species